rnacentral:rRNA from 1 species
UACGAAGGGUGCAAGCGUUACUCGGAAUUACUGGGCGUAAAGCGUGCGUAGGUGGUUUGUUAAGUCUGUGGUGAAAGCCCCGGGCUCAACCUGGGAAUGGCAAUGGAUACUGGCAAGCUAGAGUGCGGUAGAGGGUAGUGGAAUUCCCGGUGUAGCGGUGAAAUGCGUAGAGAUCGGGAGGAACACCAGUGGCGAAGGCGGCUACCUGGACCAGCACUGACACUGAGGCACGAAAGCGUGGGGAGCAAACAGG